CAAGGCGACGAUCCGUAGCUGAUCUGAGAGGACGACCAGCCACAUUGGGACUGAGACACGGCCCAAACUCCUACGGGAGGCAGCAGUGGGGAAUAUUGGACAAUGGGGGCAACCCUGAUCCAGCGACGCCGCGUGUGUGAAGAAGGCCUGCGGGUUGUAAAGCACUUUUAGUGGGGAUGAAAAGUCCAAGGUUAAUACCUUUGGAUCUUGACCUAACCCACAGAAAAAGCACCGGCUAACUCUGUGCCAGCAGCCGCGGUAAUACAGAGGGUGCAAGCGUUAAUCGGAAUUACUGGGCGUAAAGCGUGCGUAGACGGUUAUGUAAGUUAGGUGUGAAAGCCCCGGGCUCAACCUGGGAAUGGCAUUUAAGACUGCAUAGCUAGGGUGCGGAAGAGGGAAGCGGAAUUUCCGGUGUAGCGGUGAAAUGCGUAGAUAUCGGAAGGAACAUCAGUGGCGAAAGCGGCUUCCUGGUCCAGCACCGACGUUCAGGCACG
rnacentral:rRNA from 1 species